rnacentral:rRNA from 1 species
GACGAACGCUGGCGGCGUGCUUAACACAUGCAAGUCGAACGGAAAGGCCCUGCUUUUGUGGGGUGCUCGAGCGGCGAACGGGUGAGUAACACGUGAGUAACCUGCCCUUGACUUUGGGAUAACUUCAGGAAACUGGGGCUAAUACCGGAUAGGAGCUCCUGCUGCAUGGUGGGGGUUGGAAAGUUUCGGCGGUUGGGGAUGGACUCGCGGCUUAUCAGCUUGUUGGUGGGGUAGUGGCUUACCAAGGCUUUGACGGGUAGCUGGCCUGAGAGGGUGACCGGCCACAUUGGGACUGAGAUACGGCCCAGACUCCUACGGGAGGCAGCAGUGGGGAAUAUUGCACAAUGGGCGGAAGCCUGAUGCAGCAACGCCGCGUGCGGGAUGACGGCCUUCGGGUUGUAAACCGCUUUCGCCUGUGACGAAGCGUGAGUGACGGUAAUGGGUAAAGAAGCACCGGCUAACUACGUG